CCUACGGGAGGCAGCAGUGGGGAAUAUUGGGCAAUGGGCGCAAGCCUGACCCAGCAACGCCGCGUGAAGGAAGAAGGCUUUCGGGUUGUAAACCUCUUUUCUGGGGGACGAACAAAUGACGAUACCCCAGGAAUAAGCCACGGCUAACUACGUGCCAGCAGCCGCGGUAAUACGUAGGGGGCAAGCGUUAUCCGGAUUUAUUGGGUGUAAAGGGCGUGUAGGCGGGAAUGCAAGUCAGUGGUGAAAACUCAGGGCUCAACCCUGAGCCUGCAUUUGAAACUGUGUUUCUUGAGUGCUGGAGAGGCAAGCGGAAUUCCUUGUGUAGCGGUGAAAUGCGUAGAUAUACGGAGGAACACCAGUGGCGAAGGCGGAUUGCUGGACAGUAACUGACGCUGAGGCGCGAAAGCGUGGGGAGCAAACAGGAUUAGAUACCCGUGUAGUC
rnacentral:rRNA from 1 species